GCUGGGUGUGGUGGCAUAUGCCUGUAAUCCCAGUCACUUAGGAGGCUGAGGCAGGAGGAUUGCAGGUUUGAAGCCAGCCUUAGCAAUUUAGCAAGGCUGUAAGCGACCUAGUGAGUCCCUUUCUCAA
rnacentral:sRNA from 1 species